GAUGAACGCUGGCGGCGUGCCUAAUACAUGCAAGUCGAGCGAACGGACGAUAAGCUUGCUUCUCUGAUGUUAGCGGCGGACGGGUGAGUAACACGUGGAUAACCUACCUAUAAGACUGGGAUAACUUCGGGAAACCGGAACUAAUACCGGAUGAUAUUUUGUACCGCAUGGUUCAAAAGUGAAAGACGGUCUUGCUGUCUCUUAUAGAUGGAUCCGCGCUGCAUUAGCUAGUUGGUAAGGUAACGGCUUACCAAGGCAACGAUGCAUAGCCGACCUGAGAGGGUGAUCGGCCACACUGGAACUGAGACACGGUCCAGACUCCUACGGGAGGCAGCAGUAGGGAAUCUUCCGCAAUGGGCGAAAGCCUGACGGAGCAACGCCGCGUGAGUGAUGAAGGUCUUCGGAUCGUAAAACUCUGUUAUUAGGGAAGAACAGAUGUGUAAGUAACUGUGCACAUCUUGACGGUACCUAAUCAGAAAGCCACGGCUAACUACGUG
rnacentral:rRNA from 1 species